rnacentral:rRNA from 1 species
AGGAAAACGGGCUUGGAAGAAUCAGCGGGGAAAGAAGACCCUGUUGAGCUUGACUCUAGUCCGACUUUGUGAAAUGAGUUAAGAGGUGUAGAAUAAGUGGGAGCUCCGGCGACCGUGAAAUACCACUACUUUUAAUCUUGUUUUACUUACUCCACAUACAGGGACGGCCCUUUGGGCCCUCUUUUUGAGUCAAGGCGGUUCGC